GAUGAAGAACGUAGCGAAAUGCGAUACUUGGUGUGAAUUGCAGAAUCCCGUGAACCAUCGAGUCUUUGAACGCAAGUUGCGCCCGAAGCCAUUAGGCCGAGGGCACGCCUGCCUGGGCGUCACACGUCGUUGCCCCCCAUCUACUCCUUCGGGAUUGCGGGGGGCGGAUGAUGGCCUCCCGUGCGCCUCGUCGCGCGGUUGGCCUAAAUGCCAAGUCCUCGGCGACGCACGCCACGACAAUCGGUGGUUGCGAAACCUCGGUUGCCUGUCGUGUGCGGUCGUCGCGCAUCGAGGGCUCGAAAAAAUUGCCGGGCUUCGGCUCGACUUUCAACGCGACCCCAGGUCAGGCGGGGUUACCCGCUGAAUUUAAGCAUAUCAAUAAGCGGAGGA
rnacentral:misc_RNA from 1 species